UCAUCCUUCAUCAUCUUCAUAAUUUUUUUUUUCAUCAUCUUCAAAAACCCAAUUUUUUUUUCUUUCAAAAAUUCAUCACCACACAGAUUUUCGUGCUCCUAGUUCUUUCAAUAUCAUCUUUAUCAAUUUUCAUACAAAAAUUGAAUCAAAGCUAAAAUUAAAAACACAACUUAAAUUCAACAUCAAAUCUACUCCUCCUAAUUCUAAUUCCAAUUCCAAACUGCUUGCUACAAUAACUCGCAAAUCACCGUUCUGCACUCAUCUAACUCGCUAUUCACUGUUCUGAGAUAUGAGUUUUGCAAAAAAUGACGAUUUCGCUCCAUAAUCUCAUCUGGGUUGUUCUUAUUUUCACCUUCUCAUCUAGGUCGUGCUUAUUUUCACCUUCUGAUCAUUUUUUCUCAUCUGGGUCGUUUGGUUUAUUCAUGAAAAUUUAAAUAGCCCAAUUCAACAUUCUUGGUGUCAUUGAUUCUGUUUCAAAGUUUGGUUUUUUUACUGAUAAAUAUUACUCUUUUAGUGGUUAAUUCUUGAAGGUUUUGUGUUUCAACAAUGGAAGAAGAUCAAGAAAUGAUGAAACAUGUGUGCAAAUUCUGCAGAAAAAGAAGUGUGAAAGUUGAGUUUUUUUCAUUACUCUAGAGUAACUAAUGUCAAUCUUUCAUGAAUUCUAUCGGUCUUUUUUAAUUUAUUGAUAUUCAUCUUCACCUUGAACGUGUUUAGUUUGCUGGUUUUUUUUCUUCUUCUUUUUCCCUUUUCCUUUUCUUCUUCUUUCCUUUUAUAACAGACAGAAUUCGUGACAUUCAUUCGAUUCCAGGACAAAUGGGUGAAAUAUGAGAGCACAAAAUACAAUGAAGUUCAACCAUGCGGUUUCAAGCAGCCGCUGCAAGGAACGUGAAGGGAAGGUGAUCGAGCGUAGGUUGCUGUUGUGCUGCUGUGAGUGGCCUUGCCUCACUGAGUCCUAGGU